GUGGGGAAUUUUGGACAAUGGGCGCAAGUCUGAUCCAGCAAUGCCGCGUGUGUGAAGAAGGCCUUCGGGUUGUAAAGCACUUUUGGCAGGAAAGAAAUAGCGCGUGCUAAUACCAUGCGCGAAUGACGGUACCUGCAGAAUAAGCACCGGCUAACUACGUGCCAGCAGCCGCGGUAAGACGUAGGGUGCAAGCGUUAAUCGGAAUUACUGGGCGUAAAGCGUGCGCAGGCGGUUUUGUAAGACAGGUGUGAAAUCCCCGGGCUCAACCUGGGAACUGCACUUGUGACUGCAAGGCUAGAGUGUGUCAGAGGGAGGUGGAAUUCCGCGUGUAGCAGUGAAAUGCGUAGAGAUGCGGAGGAACACCGAUGGCGAAGGCAGCCUCCUGGGAUAACACUGACGCUCAGGCACGAAAGCGUGGGGAGCAAACAGGAUUAGAUACCCCUGUAGUCC
rnacentral:rRNA from 1 species